rnacentral:rRNA from 1 species
AUUGAACGCUGGCGGCAGGCUUAACACAUGCAAGUCGAAUGAGUGGCGGACGGGUUAGUAAUGUCUGGGAAACUGCCUAAUGGAGGGGGAUAACUACUGGAAAAGGUAGCUAAUACCGCCUACCAUGGGAUCUGCCCAUAUGGGAUUAGCUAGUAUGUGGGGUAAAGGCUAACCUAGGCGACGUUCCCUAGCUUGGAUGAGAGGAUGACCAUCGACGCUGUGACUGGGACACGUUCCCGACUCCUAGGGUAGGCAGCAGUGGAGAAUAUUGCACCAGCGGUGCAAGUCUGAUGUAGCCAUGACGGUUGUAUGACGAAGGCCUUCGGGUUGUAAAGUACUUACGCCGGAGAGGCGUUAUCCGAAGAAUAAGCACCGGCUAACUACGUGCCAGCAGACGCGGUAAUUC